AGUGAACGCUGGCGGUAGGCCUAACACAUGCAAGUCGAACGGCAGCACAGUAAGAGCUUGCUCUUACGGGUGGCGAGUGGCGGACGGGUGAGGAAUACAUCGGAAUCUACUUUUUCGUGGGGGAUAACGUAGGGAAACUUACGCUAAUACCGCAUACGACCUACGGGUGAAAGCAGGGGAUCUUCGGACCUUGCGCGAUUGAAUGAGCCGAUGUCGGAUUAGCUAGUUGGCGGGGUAAAGGCCCACCAAGGCGACGAUCCGUAGCUGGUCUGAGAGGAUGAUCAGCCACACUGGAACUGAGACACGGUCCAGACUCCUACGGGAGGCAGCAGUGGGGAAUAUUGGACAAUGGGCGCAAGCCUGAUCCAGCCAUACCGCGGGGGUGAAGAAGGCCUGCGGGUUGUAAAGCCCUUUUGUUGGGAAAGAAAAGCAGCAGGUUAAGACCCCGCUGUUCUGACGGUACCCAAAGAAUAAGCACCGGCUAACUUCGU
rnacentral:rRNA from 1 species